rnacentral:lncRNA from 1 species
UCCCUUGUAGCCGCACAAACAUCCGACCUCUACAGAUAUCUAUACGAGACUCUGAUCUGAUCAGAAGCCUUUUAAUCUCAUUGAGAUGCUAGCUCUCUUGCAAAGAUCGUAUCUUGACAGUUGAAAAAUCUUCUUUUCUCCUAACAUACUCUUAGAAAACAAAAAGAUGUAGUAGGAUCUUGAUCUUUAUGCUAGAGAUCAUGAGAAGAACAUUUUC